rnacentral:rRNA from 1 species
GAAAGUUAAGCGAGCAAACGGGAAUAGAUACCUCAGUAGUCCUGAUAGUAAACGAUGGAUAUUAGGUGUUGUAUAUAUCAACCCGUGCAGUGUUGUAGUUAACGCAGUAUCC